AUUACGGAACUGUCUAUCGCCUGGCCUUAGGCUAGGAGGAAAGUCGGGACAACACAGGGCGCCAUACUUCUUAGAUGGAAGGGCUCCGAUUACUCGGGGUACAGAAAGUGUCGCAGAAAAUAACAGCCUACUCCGUCAGUAGACGGACGGCAAUGGUGAAAACGUGAGGUAAGAGCUCACGAUUAUUCCUGGUAACAGGAGUGAUGGAUAAACCUUAUGGGUUGCAAGAUCAAAUAAACCGGUGCUUGAGGGUUGCCCGCCCAAUACCGGAGGGUAGAUUGCUCGAUCCCGUGGGUGACUGCGGGGCUAGAUAAAUGAUAGAAUAGUACUUUUUUAGUAUGAAUACAGAAUCCCGCUUAUGGUUUCGUAAUACUU
rnacentral:RNase_P_RNA from 1 species